rnacentral:rRNA from 1 species
ACGCGACCCCAGGUCAGGCGGGACCACCCGCUGAGUUU